UGGGGAAUCUUGCGCAAUGGGGGAAACCUUGGCGCAGCAACGCCGCGUGGGUGAUGAAGGCCUUCGGGUCGUAAAGCCCUGUCAGGUGGGAAGAAAGAUGUCGGUGCUAAUAUCACCGAUGUUUGACGGUACCGCCGGAGGAAGCACCGGCUAACUCCGUGCCAGCAGCCGCGGUAAUACGGAGGGUGCAAGCGUUGUUCGGAAUUACUGGGCGUAAAGCGCGUGUAGGCGGUCGGGCAAGUCAGAUGUGAAAGCCUUCCGCUUAACGGAAGAAGUGCAUUUGAAACUACCCGGCUGGAGUACGGGAGAGGAGAGUGGAAUUCCCGGUGUAGAGGUGAAAUUCGUAGAUAUCGGGAGGAACACCAGUGGCGAAGGCGGCUCUCUGGUCCGAUACUGACGCUGAGACGCGAAAGCGUGGGGAGCAAACAGGAUUAGAUACCCUGGUAGUCCACGCCGUAAACGAUGGGCACUAGGUGUAGGAGGUAUUGACCCCUUCUGUGCCGAAGUUAACGCAUUAAGUGCCCCGCCUGGGGAGUACGGCCGCAAGGUUA
rnacentral:rRNA from 1 species